GGAUUAAUGAUUAAAACAGCUCUCUGGGGAUGGCGAGAAACUCAUUAAAAAAUGGCAGAGGUCC